rnacentral:rRNA from 1 species
AACGAACGCUGGCGGCGUGCCUAACACAUGCAAGUCGCGCGGGAAAGUUCCCUUCGGGGAGCGAGUAUAGCGGCGCACGGGUGAGUAAUACGUAGGUAACCUGCCCUCGAGACUGGGACAACCUGUCGAAAGACGGGCUAAUACCGGAUAAGACCACGAGAGCUGCGGCUCUUGGGGUAAAAGGUGGCCUCUGCUUGCAAGCUAUCACUUGAGGAUGGGCCUGCGCGCCAUUAGCUAGUUGGUGAGGUAACGGCUCACCAAGGCAGAGAUGGCUAGCUGGUCUGAGAGGAUGACCAGCCACACUGGGACUGAGACACGGCCCAGACUCCUACGGGAGGCAGCAGUGGGGAAUAUUGCGCAAUGGGCGAAAGCCUGACGCAGCGACGCCGCGUGGGUGAUGAAGGCC